AUUGAACGCUGGCGGCAGGCCUAACACAUGCAAGUCGAGCGGAUGAAGGGAGCUUGCUCCUGGAUUCAGCGGCGGACGGGUGAGUAAUGCCUAGGAAUCUGCCUGGUAGUGGGGGAUAACGUCCGGAAACGGGCGCUAAUACCGCAUACGUCCUGAGGGAGAAAGUGGGGGAUCUUCGGACCUCACGCUAUCAGAUGAGCCUAGGUCGGAUUAGCUAGUUGGUGGGGUAAAGGCCUACCAAGGCGACGAUCCGUAACUGGUCUGAGAGGAUGAUCAGUCACACUGGAACUGAGACACGGUCCAGACUCCUACGGGAGGCAGCAGUGGGGAAUAUUGGACAAUGGGCGAAAGCCUGAUCCAGCCAUGCCGCGUGUGUGAAGAAGGUCUUCGGAUUAUAAAGCACUUUAAGUUGGGAGGAAGGGCAGUAAGUUAAUACCUUGCUGUUUUGACGUUACCAACAGAAUAAGCACCGGCUAACUUCGUG
rnacentral:rRNA from 1 species